GGUCAGCUGACACAUCCCUGCCAAUCUCCGGCAGACCCUCCCUCCCAGACCCUCCUACUUCCUGGACAGCAUCCAUGUUGAAGGCAGCUUCAACAUGGAUGCUGUCCAGGAGGUGGGAGGGUCUGGGAGGGAGGGUCUGCCGGAGAUUGGCAGGGAUGUGUCAGCUG